rnacentral:rRNA from 1 species
CCUACGGGAGGCAGCAGUGGGGAAUCUUGCGCAAUGGGCGAAAGCCUGACGCAGCAACGCCGCGUGCGGGAUGAAGGCCUUCGGGUUGUAAACCGCUUUCAGCAGGGACGAAAAUGACGGUACCUGCAGAAGAAGCCCCGGCUAACUACGUGCCAGCAGCCGCGGUAAUACGUAGGGGGCAAGCGUUGUCCGGAUUUAUUGGGCGUAAAGAGCUCGUAGGCGGUUCCGUAAGUCGAGUGUGAAAAAUCUGGGCUCAACCCAGUGGAGCACUCGAUACUGCGGUGACUAGAGUACGGUAGAGGAGUGUGGAAUUCCUGGUGUAGCGGUGAAAUGCGCAGAUAUCAGGAGGAACACCAACGGCGAAGGCAGCACUCUGGGCCGGUACUGACGCUGAGGAGCGAAAGCGUGGGGAGCAAACAGGAUUAGAUACCCUGGUAGUCCACGCCGUAAACGUUGGGCACUAGGUGUGGGAAGGAAUCAACCCUUUCCGUGCCGUAGCUAACGCAUUAAGUGCCCCGCCUGGGGAGUCGGCCGCAAGGCAAAACUCAAAUGAAUUGACGG